GCAUUAGACCGUUAUAUAUGCUUACGGAAUCGCACGGAACGUACAUUGCUUGUCGACGUUGCGGUCGUUUCUCGUAGGAAUUCAAUUUGACGUCACGACGCCGUUAAAAGCUUUUUCCGAUUAAAAAAAAGCUCCGGAUCCGUCGGCUUUCAGCCACUAAUUUUCAAAGCCAAUUUUCUCGCUUCGCCUUUCCUUCUCCCAUCUCUCUCGACGAGGCUCGCCAUCGCCGCUAUUCCCAUUCGCCCUCCCCUCCUCUUCUCCACCCCCGCAAAACCCUAGCCGCCGACCCCUCCAAUCCCCUACCAGCGCCCGAUUGCCGGCCCCAAUCGAGCUAGGGCUCGCCAAAUUCUGGCCGGGCUCGUUGAAAUUUCGGCCGGUCUUUUCUGGUGAAUCCUUUGGUUUAUCCUGAGGGGAUAUUUUGAUUUCUGCGGCGCACGAUGGGGAGCAGAAGGGAGGAGGAGAGGAACGAGAAGAUCAUCCGCGGACUCAUGAAGUUGCCGCCCAACCGCAAGUGCAUCAAUUGCAACAGUGUGGGGCCACAGUAUGUGUGUACCAAUUUCUGGACCUUCAUUUGCCUGUCAUGUAGUGGAAUUCACCGUGAAUUCACUCACCGUGUUAAGUCGGUGUCAAUGUCCAAAUUUACUACCCAAGAAGUGCAGGCCCUCGAACAGGGGGGUAACCAGCGAGCACGUGACAUCUACCUAAAGGAUUGGGAUUGGCAACGAAUGAGGUUGCCUAUCAACACCAAUCCGGAUAGGAUAAGGGAAUUUAUCAGGGCUGUUUAUGUGGAUAAGAAGUAUGCUGGUGGAUCCUCUAACAAACCAGCCACAGAAAGUGAGAGUAUGAAGAGCAAUGACCAUGACAUGAGAAGACCUAGUUCUUAUCAUUCAUAUUCCCAGAGCCCACCCUAUGAUUUUCAAUAUGAAGAUAGACGAUAUGGUAAGCAAGUGAACACACUUGCUAGAAGGCCUUCAGAUAGGGCGCUCUUCGAUGGGAAACUUGGCAACCUACUAUUCAGUCCAGGUCGUUUGCGAGAUCAGAUGAAUGAAGACCGUUUUGCCAAUGAAAGUUCAGGAUCAAGGUUUUCUGACUUCUCAGCCUCAAGCACUGGCGACUUCAGAAAUGAUGUGCUUUCUCCUAGCUCUCAGGAGACAGGCUACAGUAGUCCCUCAGUCCACCAUUCAAGAAAUGUCUCUGCUGACAAUCCUCAAACCCAGAAAUGUCCUAACGCAGCUUCACAAAUAGAUUUCAAUGGAGUUCGACGUCCACAGCGAACAACUUCUUCUGGAAGUUUUGGAUCAUUUGAUGGUAGCUCAGUUUCCAACAAAUCAAUUGAAUCAGGUUACCCACCUGAUGCACCAACAGAAAAGUCAGUGCAUUGUGCUGUAAACCAUCAGACUGUACCUUCUCCUGAGGCCUGUUCGACACAACAAUAUGCCUCCCCAUCCGACAAUCACAACUUGAUACCUCACAAACCUGCUGAUUUAGGUAGCCAAAUUGUUGCCACCAGGAAACCAGUGCAACAUAGUUGCGCUCAGAUUGAAAAUGUGGUGCCGAUGCAUGCUCCAGUACAACCAACGACUUCCACACCUCUUGGCCUCUUUGAUCAAUCAACUGUGCAACAUCCUGUCACAUCUGCUGCACCGAUAGAUCUGUUUGCUGGCUUUAAUGAACAGUUACCAGCUUCUCAUAAUACAGAUGGUGUAUCCAGUCAUUCUGUUGUUGCUAAAGAACCUGCCCAUAAUGUUGUUCAGAAGGGCAUAAUGCCAUCAGCUGAAGCACUCGCCACAUCUCAUGCUGUGCACCAAGAUUUGUUCAGUCUGUCAAUUUUGCAGGAACCAGCAACACCCUUACCCUCUCAGCCAAUAGAUCUGUUUGCUGGCUUUGACCAACAUUUGCCGCAUUUGUCUACUGUUCAGAAAAUUCCAUCGGCAGUUCCAUUUCCUGCUAAUGAUGGAUGGGCUUUCUUUGACGUGCAACAUGGAUUGUUGACAUCUGUUUCAAAUGUGCAAGGUCAGGUGCCUGCUGCAUUCUCUCCAUCUGAUGGUAUUGCUAAAGGAAUUGACCAAUUAACAUUACCAACUUCGCCACCAAAUGUAAUUGGGUCACAAAAUUCUCCGGCUAUGAUGGAUAACUGGAGUUUAAAUGCUGAGGAAGUGAAGAUCCCUGUCCUCAACGAAAAUUCUCAGUCUUGGAAUGCCUUUGGUGAAUCUACUCAGAGCGCAUCAAAUGAUCUGUUCACAUUUAAUACUAUGUCUCAAGUAGAAGCUCAUCAAUUCUCUAUGCCAAGUGGUCCAUAUGUUGAAUCCAGAAUUCCACAGGAUUUAGUUAGGGAUGAGCCUGAAAGGCCAACUCCUAGGGAUGUGUUUUCUGGCUUCAAUAUUUCACAUGUUGAGGUGGUUGGACCAUCGUCUCCAUCACUCCAGCCCCAUUUGGGUGGCAUGGUCUCUCAUCCUGAAAAAUCAACAAAUCCAUUUGACAUGGCAUUUGAAUCCGACGUUGACGCCAAUGACAUGUUCAUGGAUUUGACCUCACUGCAAGAAACAUUACCAGAUCAUCACACUCUCACAGAUUAUUCGGGGAGCUUAACAGAGCCAUGGAUUUCUCAGAAUUCCACUAUGUCAUAUAUUCCUUCUGGGCCUCAAGGAGGUUUAUCCUAUGUGGCAGGACAGGACUCUCACAUGUUGAGUUCAACACAUCAAGGAGCUUUUCCACCUAGGAAUCCAUUUGAGUGAGACUAGUAAAGAGAGUUUUGCUGGAUAGUGGUGGACAGAAGAGGAAGGCAAUCAGCACCGGUCGAAACUCAAAUGGAUACUCAGGUCUACUAUACUAGAUGCAUUGAAAGCAACUGUGCAUCGAAUCUGAAACCCUGAGAUGGACCGGUGCCAACUGCCAACUCAUAUUCAAUGAUCGGUGCCAGCUCAUAUUCAAUGACCUAUGCCAAGCGGCGAAGAAGUGGCACACUAGGAGCAUCACCAAUGUUUCUACAACCAUAUACGACUGCUCCAUCGCAAUUCUUGUUGUGGAAGAGGUUUUGUCAAAGGAUCAACAACAUUUAAAUCCGUAUGUAUCUUGCAUAUCUUGAUCUCACCCCACCUAACAAACUCCCAUAUGAUGUAAAGUUUCAGCAGUACGUGUUUGCUUUUCUGGUGGUUUCUUGGCUCCUUAGCUUGCACAAUAACCCCAUUAUUAUCACACUAGAGGUUCAAUGGGCUAGACACAUUAGGAAACACACCAAGUUCGAUGAUGAACUUUCUUAUCCAAAACACCUUCCUUUGUAGAUUUAGAAGUUGUAAUGUACUCGACUUCUAUUGUAUAAUCAGUCACGGUCUCCAGCUUGGAACUUUUCUGACUAAAGCACCACUAUUUAUUGUGAACACAAAACCUGAUUGCGAUUUUAACUCGUCCAGAUCAGUUUGGAAGCUUGCAUCGGUGUAACCAGUUACAACGAGCUCAUCUUUACCUCCGUAGAUUAGGAACAUAUCUUUAGUCCUUUUGAAGUACUUAAAAAUGUCUUUUACAGCUGUCCGGUGACCCUCACCUGGAUCAACCUAGUGCUUACUUGUAGCACUUAGAGCGUAUAAAACAUUUGGCCGCAUACUUAUCAUGGCUUACAUGUUAGAUCCAAUUACUGAAUCAUAUUGUACCUUACUCAUGCGCUCCUGCUCAUUAGCCAUUGCAGGACACAGCUUCCGGAUGAGGUGUAUACCAUGUGACAUAGGCAAGUGUUAGAAAUAUGCCCUAAAAAUGAUCAUAGAGAUGAGCAUAUUUCCUUGUAUCCAUUAUA